rnacentral:tRNA from 1 species
GGAGAGGUGACAGAGUGGUCGAUUGUGCAGCACUGGAAAUGCUGUGUACGGGCAACCGUACCGCGGGUUCGAAUCCCGCCCUCUCCG